rnacentral:rRNA from 1 species
AUGAACCUCCUUCGGGAGGGGAUUAGUGGCGAACGGGUGAGUAACACGUGGGCAAUCUGCCCUGCACUCUGGGACAAGCCCUGGAAACGGGGUCUAAUACCGGAUACGAGUUUCACAGGCAUCUGUGAUUCUGGAAAGCUCCGGCGGUGCAGGAUGAGCCCGCGGCCUAUCAGCUUGUUGGUGAGGUAACGGCUCACCAAGGCGACGACGGGUAGCCGGCCUGAGAGGGCGACCGGCCACACUGGGACUGAGACACGGCCCAGACUCCUACGGGAGGCAGCAGUGGGGAAUAUUGCACAAUGGGCGCAAGCCUGAUGCAGCGACGCCGCGUGAGGGAUGACGGCCUUCGGGUUGUAAACCUCUUUCAGCAGGGAAGAAGCGAGAGUGACGGUACCUGCAGAAGAAGCGCCGGCUAACUACGUGCCAGCAGCCGCGGUAAUACGUAGGGCGCAAGCGUUGUCCGGAAUUAUUGGGCGUAAAGAGCUCGUAGGCGGCUUGUCGCGUCGGAUGUGAAAGCCCGGGGCUUAACCCCGGGUCUGCAUUCGAUACGGGCAGGCUAGAGUUCGGUAGGGGAGAUCGGAAUUCCUGGUGUAGCGGUGAAAUGCGCAGAUAUCAGGAGGAACACCGGUGGCGAAGGCGGAUCUCUGGGCCGAUACUGACGCUGAGGAGCGAAAGCGUGGGGAGCGAACAGGAUUAGAUACCCUGGUAGUCCACGCCGUAAACGGUGGGCACUAGGUGUGGGCAACAUUCCACGUUGUCCGUGCCGCAGCUAACGCAUUA